CCAAGUGAUAGUGGCAUACGGUGGAUGCCUUGGCACCAGGCGCCGAUGAAGGACGUGGGAGGCCGCGAUAGUCCACGGGGAGUUGUCAACCGAGCUUUGAUCCGUGGGUGUCCGAAUGGGGAAACCUAGCCCGAGUUGUGUCGGGUUGCCGCUGUCUGAAUGUAUAGGGCAGUUGGUGGUGACGCGGGGAAGUGAAACAUCUCAGUACCCGUAGGAAGAGUAAACAACAGUGAUUCCCUGAGUAGUGGUGAGCGAACGGGGAAGAGGCUAAACCGUGCGCGUGUGAUAGACGGCAGUCGUUGCGUGUGCGGGGUUGUGGGGUGCAUCUUUUCAGGUCUGCCGGCCUGGAGCGCUGAUGGUUCUUCUAGCUGAAUCCGUUGGGAAGCGGUACCGGAGUGGGUGAGAGUCCCGUAGGUGAAGGAAGAGUCUAGGUGUUGAUGUUCUCCCGAGUAGCGCGGAGCCCGAGGAAUUCCGUGUGAAUCUGGCAGGACCACCUGCUAAGCCAAAAUACGUCCUGGUGACCGAUAGUGCACUAGUACCGUGAGGGAAAGGUGAAAAGUGCCCCGGUGAGGGGUCGUGAAAUAGUACCUGAAACCGUGUGCUGUCAAGCCGUCAGAGCUGACUUUCGGGUUGGUGAUGGCGUGCCUUUUGAAGAAUGAGCCUGCGAGUCAUGGUGUGUGGCGAGGUUAACCCGGGUGGGGUAGCCGUAGGGAAACCGAGUCUGAAGAGGGCGUUGAGUCGCAUGCUGUGGACCCGAAGCGGGGUGAUCUACCCAUGUCCAGGGUGAAGCGGGGGUAAGACCUCGUGGAGGCCCGAACCCACCAGGGUUGAAAACCUGGGGGAUGAGGUGUGGGUAGGGGUGAAAGGCCAAUCAAACUCCGUGAUAGCUGGUUCUCCCCGAAAUGCAUUUAGGUGCAGCGUCGCGUGUUUCUUGCUGGAGGUAGAGCUACUGUUUGGCUGAUGGGCCCGACAAGGUUACUGACGUCAGACAAACUCCGAAUGCCGGUGAAGUGAAGCGCGGCAGUGAGACUGCGGGGGAUAAGCUUCGUAGUCGAGAGGGAAACAGCCCAGAUCAUCAGCUAAGGCCCCUAAGCGUGUGCUAAGUGGGAAAGGUUGUGGAGUUGCUGAGACAACCAGGAGGUUGGCUUAGAAGCAGCCAUCCUUUAAAGAGUGCGUAAUAGCUCACUGGUCAAGUGGUUCUGCGCCGAUAAUGUAGCGGGGCUAAAGCACACCGCCGAAGCUGUGGAGCCCAGUCGUUUGGCUGGGUUGGUAGGGGAGCGUCGUGCAUCCGGUGAAGCUGCCGAGUGAUCGUGUGGUGGAGGGUGUGCGAGUGAGAAUGCAGGCAUGAGUAGCGAAAGCAACGUGAGAAACGUUGCCGCCGAUUGACUAAGGGUUCCUGGGGCAGGUUAAUCCGCCCAGGGUGAGUCUGGACCUAAGGCGAGGCCGACAGGCGUAGUCGAUGGAUAACGGGUUGAUAUUCCCGUACCCGUGCACGAGCGUCCAGUAUCGAGGCGACGGAUGCUAACCACGCUGGAUGCCUAGGGUCCCUUCGGGGAGCUUGGGUUUUCUGGUCUGGGAACCGAUGUUGUAGUAGGUAAGUGAUGGGGUGACNCCUUCUUCGACCUUCGGGUUGGGGUUGGUUUCUGGUCUGGGAACCGAUGUUGUAGUAGGUAAGUGAUGGGGUGACGCAGGAGGGUAGCUCUACCCGGCGGUGGUUGUCCGGGGGUAAGCGUGUAGGCUGGUGUGUUGGUAAAUCCGCAUGCCGUGUGGCUGAGACGUGAUGCCGAGCCGUUUUUGGUGAAGUGAGUGAUCCCAUGCUGUCGAGAAAAGCCUCUAGCGAGUUCGUGUGUGGCCAGUACCCUAAACCGACGCAGGUGGUCAGGUAGAGAAUACCGAGGCGUUCGGGUGAACCAUGGUUAAGGAACUCGGCAAAUUGUCCCCGUAACUUUGGGAGAAGGGGAGCCCUGUCUGGUGAAAGAGUUUUCCUCUGGAGCUGGGUGGGGUCGCAGAUAGCGGGGGGAAGCGACUGUUUAUUAAAAACACAGGUCCGUGCGAAGUCGUAAGACGCUGUAUACGGACUGACGCCUGCCCGGUGCUGGAACGUUAAGAGGACUGGUUAGUGGGUUUCGGCCCGCGAAGCUGGGAAUCUAAGCGCCAGUAAACGGCGGUGGUAACUAUAACCAUCCUAAGGUAGCGAAAUUCCUUGUCGGGUAAGUUCCGACCUGCACGAAUGGCGUAACGACUUCCCCACUGUCUCAACCAUGGGCCCGGUGAAAUUGCACUACGAGUAAAGAUGCUCGUUUCGCGCAGCAGGACGGAAAGACCCCGGGACCUUCACUAUAGCUUGACAUUGGUGUUUGGGAUGGUUUGUGUAGGAUAGGUGGGAGCCGGUGAAGCUGUCACGCUAGUGGCGGUGGAGGCGUUGGUGAAAUACCACUCUGACUGUUUCGGGCAUCUAACUUUGGACCGUGAUCCGGUUCGGGGACAGUGUCUGGUGGGUAGUUUAACUGGGGCGGUUGCCUCCUAAAGAGUAACGGAGGCGCCCAAAGGUUCCCUCAGCCUGGUUGGUAAUCAGGUGUUGAGUGUAAGUGCACAAGGGAGCUUGACUGUGAGACGGACGUGUCGAGCAGGAGCGAAAGCUGGGACUAGUGAUCCGGCACCGGCGUGUGGAAGCGGUGUCGCUCAACGGCUAAAAGGUACCCCGGGGAUAACAGGCUGAUCUUCCCCAAGAGUCCGUAUCGACGGGAUGGUUUGGCACCUCGAUGUCGGCUCGUCGCAUCCUGGGGCUGGAGUUGGUCCCAAGGGUUGGGCUGUUCGCCCAUUAAAGCGGCACGCGAGCUGGGUUUAGAACGUCGUGAGACAGUUCGGUCCCUAUCCGCUGUGCGCGUUGGAGACUUGAGAAGGGCUGUCCCUAGUACGAGAGGACCGGGACGGACGAACCUCUGGUGUGCCAGUUGUCCUGCCAAGGGCAUGGCUGGUUGGCUACGUUCGGGAGGGAUAACCGCUGAAAGCAUCUAAGCGGGAAGCUUGCUUCGAGAUGAGGUCUCCUGCCUCCUUUGAGAGGGUAAGACUCCCUAGAGACGAUAGGGUUGAUAGGCCGGGUGUGGAAGCCUUGUGAGGG
rnacentral:rRNA from 1 species